CCUACAGGAGGCAGCAGUGGGGAAUAUUGCACAAUGGGGGAAACCCUGAUGCAGCGACGCCGCGUGAGUGAAGAAGUAAUUCGUUAUGUAAAGCUCUAUCAGCAGGGAAGAAAAUGACGGUACUUGAGUAAGAAGCCCCGGCUAACUACGUGCCAGCAGCCGCGGUAAUACGUAGGGGGCAAGCGUUAUCCGGAUUUACUGGGUGUAAAGGGAGCGUAGACGGCAGUGCAAGUCUGGAGUGAAAGGCGGGGGCUCAACCCCCGGACUGCUCUGGAAACUGUACGGCUGGAGUGCAGGAGAGGUAAGUGGAAUUCCUAGUGUAGCGGUGAAAUGCGUAGAUAUUAGGAGGAACACCAGUGGCGAAGGCGGCUUACUGGACUGUAACUGACGUUGAGGCUCGAAAGCGUGGGGAGCAAACAGGAUUAGAUACCCCAGUAGUC
rnacentral:rRNA from 1 species